AGCGAACGCUGGCGGCAGGCCUAACACAUGCAAGUCGAACGAAGCCUUCGGGCUUAGUGGCGGACGGGUGAGUAACACGUGGGAACGUACCUUUUGGUUCGGAAUAACGCAGAGAAAUUUGCGCUAAUACCGAAUGAGCCCUUCGGGGGAAAGAUUUAUCGCCGAAAGAUCGGCCCGCGUUGGAUUAGGUAGUUGGUGUGGUAAAGGCGCACCAAGCCUACGAUCCAUAGCUGGUCUGAGAGGAUGAUCAGCCACACUGGGACUGAGACACGGCCCAGACUCCUACGGGAGGCAGCAGUUGGGAAUCUUGCGCAAUGGGCGAAAGCCUGACGCAGCCAUGCCGCGUGAAUGAUGAAGGUCUUAGGAUUGUAAAAUUCUUUUACCAGGGACGAUAAUGACGGUACCUGGAGAAAAAGCCCCGGCUAACUUCGUGCCAGCCGCCGCUGUAAAAC
rnacentral:rRNA from 1 species